rnacentral:rRNA from 1 species
GACGAACGCUGGCGGCGUGCCUAAUACAUGCAAGUCGAGCGAAUCAAUGGGAGCUUGCUCCCUGAGAUUAGCGGCGGACGGGUGAGUAACACGUGGGUAACCUGCCUGUAAGACUGGGAUAACUUCGGGAAACCGGAGCUAAUACCGGAUACGUUCUUUUCUCGCAUGAGAAGAGAUGGAAAGAUGGUUUCGGCUAUCACUUACAGAUGGACCCGCGGCGCAUUAGCUAGUUGGUGAGGUAACGGCUCACCAAGGCGACGAUGCGUAGCCGACCUGAGAGGGUGGUCGGGCACACUGGGACUGAGACACGGCCCAGACUCCUACGGGGGGGAGCAGUAGGGAAUCUUCCGCGAUGGACGAAAGUCUGGCGGAGCAACGCCGCGUGAGCGAAGAAGGCCUUCGGGUCGUAAAGCUCUGGUGUUAGGGAAGAACAAGUACGAGAGUAACUGCUCGUACCUUGACGGUACCUAACCAGAAAGCCACGGCUAACUACGUGCCAGCCGCCGCAGUAACAC